rnacentral:misc_RNA from 1 species
GGGGAAUUUUCCGCAAUGGGCGAAAGCCUGACGGAGCAAUACCGCGUGAGGGAGGAAGGCUCUUGGGUUGUAAACCUCUUUUCUCAGGGAAGAACACAAUGACGGUACCUGAGGAAUCAGCAUCGGCUAACUCCGUGCCAGUAGCCGCGGUAAUACGGAGGAUGCAAGCGUUAUCCGGAAUGAUUGGGCGUAAAGCGUCCGCAGGUGGCUGUGUAAGUCUGCUGUCAAAGAGCGAAGCUCAACUUCGUAAAGGCAGUGGAAACUACACGGCUAGAGUGCGUUCGGGGCAGAGGGAAUUCCUGGUGUAGCGGUGAAAUGCGUAGAGAUCAGGAAGAACACCGGUGGCGAAGGCGCUCUGCUAGGCCGCAACUGACACUGAGGGACGAAAGCUAGGGGAGCGAAUGGGAUUAGAUACCCCAGUAGUCCUAGCUGUAAACGAUGGAUACUAGGCGUGGCUUGUAUCGACCCGAGCCGUGCCGUAGCUAACGCGUUAAGUAUCCCGCCUGGGGAGUACGCACGCAAGUGUGAAACUCAAAGGAAUUGACGGGGGCCCGCACAAGCGGUGGAGUAUGUGGUUUAAUUCGAUGCAACGCGAAGAACCUUACCAAGGCUUGACAUGUCGCGAAUCCUGGUGAAAGUCAGGAGUGCCUUCGGGAGCGCGAACACAGGUGGUGCAUGGCUGUCGUCAGCUCGUGUCGUGAGAUGUUGGGUUAAGUCCCGCAACGAGCGCAACCCUCGUUUUUAGUUGCCAGCAUUAAGUUGGGCACUCUAGAGAGACUGCCGGUGACAAACCGGAGGAAGGUGGGGAUGACGUCAAGUCAGCAUGCCCCUUACGCCUUGGGCUACACACGUACUACAAUGCUACGGACAGAGGGCAGCAAGCUAGCGAUAGCAAGCAAAUCCCAGAAACCGUGGCUCAGUUCAGAUCGAAGGCUGCAACUCGCCUUCGUGAAGGAGGAAUCGCUAGUAAUUGCAGGUCAGCAUACUGCAGUGAAUUCGUUCCCGGGCCUUGUACACACCGCCCGUCACACCAUGGAAGCUGGCAACGCCCGAAGUCAUUACUCCAACCAUUCGUGGGGGAGGAUGCCUAAGGCAGUGCUGGUGACUGGGGUGAAGUCGUAACAAGGUAGCCGUACCGGAAGGUGUGGCUGGAUCACCUCCUUUAUAGGGAGACCUACCCAACUUUAAUAUCGAGGACACAGAGUUAAUAGAUAUAAAGAUGGUCAUUCCUAGGUCGGUCGAGAUUGGUAAAUAGCUUUCAAAGUAUUAGUGGUUCAGUAAAUAUAGAGUUUGUUAAAAAACUGUAUAAAUUCAGCAAUAUGGCGAUUAGCCAGACUGCUGGGUUAAAUCUCAGCCAGAACCUUGAAAACUGCAUAGGAAUGCGAAGCAGGCAGACACAGACAAUGUUUGUGUAUGCAAAAACAAAUGCCGAAUUUGUGGUCAAGCUAAUAAGAGCUGACGGCGGAUACCUAGGCACACAGAG